rnacentral:rRNA from 1 species
AUUGAACGCUGGCGGCAGGCUUAACACAUGCAAGUCGAGCGGAGAUGAGGUGCUUGCACCUUAUCUUAGCGGCGGACGGGUGAGUAAUGCUUAGGAAUCUGCCUAUUAGUGGGGGACAACAUUCCGAAAGGAAUGCUAAUACCGCAUACGCCCUACGGGGGAAAGCAGGGGAUCUUCGGACCUUGCGCUAAUAGAUGAGCCUAAGUCGGAUUAGCUAGUUGGUGGGGUAAAGGCCUACCAAGGCGACGAUCUGUAGCGGGUCUGAGAGGAUGAUCCGCCACACUGGGACUGAGACACGGACCAGACUCCUACGGGAGGCAGCAGUGGGGAAUAUUGGACAAUGGGCGGAAGCCUGAUCCAGCCAUGCCGCGUGUGUGGAGAAGGCCUUUUGGUUGUAAAGCACUUUAAGCGAGGAGGAGGCUACCUGGAUUAAUACUCUAGGAUAGUGGACGUUACUCGCAGAAUAAGCACCGGCUAACUCUGUGCCAGCCGCCGCGGUAACAC